UGGCUUUAGAGAGCUUCAAAGCGUUUCCCUGUGAAAUAGACAAUAUAGAAAAACGAUAAUGAAAUCUAGAGGUAAAGAUAUUUUUUCUCCAUAUACGUCACAGGUCACAUGGUGUGGAGGACCCUUAAGGGGGAGGCACACUAGUCAAUGAUAGAUUUUUUUCUCGCUAAUCGAGGACUUAUUUUUUAUUUAUCUUCUAGUACUGAUCCCUCGCCUAAGAAUUAAACGGUCGAAUGGACGUCAUAUUAUACCGGUGCUGCUUUAUCGUUUUUUUAUUAUAAGGUAUUACCGGUACUGUUAGCAUUGACAUUAAUGGAGACAGAAGUUCCGAUUUUUCUCUUCUCGACUUGGACCCGGUGUCAGGAAAGUUUGAGGUGGUGGCUAAUUUCUUUGGCAAAGUUAACAAAUACGUGCCAAUUCCAUCAAAGAAGAUUCAUUGGGCCGGAAACAUAAAAUCACUGCCACCGGAUACUCCUAAGCGUGGUUUUGACAGAGCUAAAUGUCUACAUAAAACAAAUAUCACAGAAACUUCAGAUGCUUCCAAGACGUCUGCAAAUGGCUCUAGAACUCUUGUCCAGUGCAUCCUGGUCAUGGUUAUAGGAACAUAUGUAGGACUUUAUACAAACAAAUGAGGCCAGAGAACCUGAAGUAAAACGGUGCCUUAGAAUGUACUUGGAAAAAAAUUGAUAUUCAAGCAUUGUUCAUUCUAAUUUUUGGUCUUAUCUUUUCAGACUAAAAGAUCGACAGUGAAGAGCUCUGAAUAUUCUGUUAUCUAUUUUAGAAAAUAUACUUAAAUGUAAUUAUAAUUUGUGUAUAUUAUUUUAUGAAUCCCUUUUUAUCAAUCAUGGGUAAGAUACUGUCUUCCUGUUUCACACUAAGUAUUAAAAAUAAUGUAUGAUAGAAUAUUAAUAUAUUGUCAGUACAU